rnacentral:rRNA from 1 species
UUAAAGGGCUGCAGUAUAUUGACUGUACAAAGGUAGCAUAAUCAUUAGUCAUUUAAUUGAUGACUUGUAUGAAGGAUUGGAUGAAAUAUAAACUGUCUCUUAAUUAUAUUUAAAAUUUAAUUUUUUAAUUAAAAAGUUAAAAUAAAUUAGAAAGACGAGAAGACCCUAUAGAGUUUUAUAAAUAAAAUUAAUUGAGAUUAUUUAUAAAAUUAAAAUUAAGAUUAAUUUAUUUAUUUUGUUGGGGUGACAGAAAAAUAUAAAAAACUUUUUAUAUAUUUAAAACGUUGAUAAGUGGUUAAAUGAUCCAAUAUUAUUGAUUAUAAGAAAAAAUUACCUUAGGGAUAACAGCGUAAUUUUUUUUUUUAGUUCAUAUAAAAAAAAAAGUUUGCGACCUCGAUGUUGGAUUAAGAUAAAAUUUAAAUGUAGAAG